rnacentral:rRNA from 1 species
UUUUACAAUGGAGAGUUUGAUCCUGGCUCAGGAUGAACGCUAGCUACAGGCUUAACACAUGCAAGUCGAGGGGAAACGACAUCGAAAGCUUGCUUUUGGUGGGCGUCGACCGGCGCACGGGUGAGUAACGCGUAUCCAACCUGCCCACCACUUGGGGAUAACCUUGCGAAAGUAAGACUAAUACCCAAUGAUAUCUCUAGAAGACAUCUGAAAGAGAUUAAAGAUUUAUCGGUGAUGGAUGGGGAUGCGUCUGAUUAGC